CAGCGGAGCCAGUUUGAUUUGAGAUAUGAGACCAGCGUCUUCCAGAAAGCCGUACAGCAGAAAGUUUGAACAGCUGAGGAAGGACCCCUCUGUCACAACUGGCAUGGGAUUGAUGCGGCCAAGAACAUUGAAGAUGUGCGCACAGACAUUAACAACCACAGUGUAAACGCCAUUAAUGCAUCAGAGAAUGAGCCUAUCGGGAGGAGCUGUGGAAGUGACCUACCUGGGUCAUGUUCAUUAUGGCACACUGUAGCAAAAUGUUAUAGUAGUGUUAGUGUUUCUUAUUGGACAAGUCCAGGUAAUCCCUCCCUGUUUGUCUAUUUGGUACCGAAUGAACGUGACCCUGGUGUCUAAGGAGCAGGAAGC